rnacentral:rRNA from 1 species
AGUGGAUGGGGAGCAACCUAUGUUGUGCGUGUGUAAAGGUAGUGCCAAGAAAAGCGAUGAUCAUGUUGAAAAUCAAUUCCCGGUACCCGAAACCGACACAGGUGGGCAAGUAGAGAAUACUAAGGGGCGCGAGGUAACUCUCUCCAAGGAACUCGGCAAAAUGACCCCGUAACUUAGGGAGAAGGGGUGCCACCGAGAGGUGGUCGCAGUGAAGAGGCCCAGGCGACUGUUUAGCAAAAACAUAGGUCUCUGCAAACUCGAAAGAGGAGGUAUAGGGGCUGACGCCUGCCCAGUGCCGGAAGGUUAAAGAAGUUGGUCAGUUUUAGGAUGAAGCUAGCGACUGAAGCCCCGGUGAACGGCGGCCGUAACUAUAACGGUCCUAAGGUAGCGAAAUUCCUUGUCGGGUAAGUUCCGACCCGCACGAAAGGCGUAACGAUCUGGGCGCUGUCUCGGAGAGAGGCUCGGCGAAAUAGGAUUGUCUGUGAAGAUACGGACUACCUGCAUUUGGACAGAAAGACCCUAUGAAGCCUUACUAUAGCUUGGAAUUGUGUUCGGGCUUCCUGUGCGCAGGAUAGGUGGGAGGCGUAGAAGGUAUUCUUGUGGGGAUACUGGAGCCAACGGUGAGAUACCACUCUCAGGAGGCUAGAAUUCUAACUUAAUUAAGGACAGUUUCAGGUGGGUAGUUUGACUGGGGCGGUCGCCUCCAAAAAGGUAACGGAGGCGUACAAAGGUUCCCUCAGACUGGUUGGAAAUCAGUCGAAGAGUGCAAAGGCAGAAGGGAGCUUGACUGCGAGAAGUACAGUUCGAGCAGGGUGGAAACACGGUCUUAGUGAUCCGACGGUGCUGUGUGGAAGGGCCGUCGCUCAACGGAUAAAAGUUACUCUAGGAUAACAGGCUGAUCUCCCCCAAGAGUUCACAUCGACGGGGAGGUUUGGCACCUCGAUGUCGGCUCAUCGCAACCUGGGGCGGAAGUACGUCCCAAGGGUUGGGCUGUUCGCCCAUUAAAGCGGUACGUGAGCUGGGUUCAGAACGUCGUGAGACAGUUCGGUCCAUAUCCGAUGUAGGCGUGAGAAUAUUGAGAGGAGCCUUCCUUAGUACGAGAGGACCGGGAAGGACGCACCGCUGGUGUACCUGUUAUGAUGCCAAUUGUAAACGCAGGGUAGCCAAGUGCGGAGAGGAUAACCGCUGAAAGCAUCUAAGUGGGAAGCCCACCUCAAGAUGAGUAUUCUGGUGUAAGGUCACGGGAAGACGACCCGUAAAUAGGCACGAGGUGGAAGUGCAGAGAUGUAUGAAGCCGAAGUGUACUAAUAGACCGUCGGCUUGACC